GGGCUGUGUGCGGGGGGGGGGGGGGGGGGUUGAAGGGAGGAGCCACACCGGGCCCCAGCCCAGGGACCAGGAAUCUGUGCCAGGGCCGGGAGAGGAGCAGCCACGGGGCAGGCUCGGGGCCAGGCGGUGAGAGCUUCGAGGGCCUCCGGGCAGUGACAGAGACAGCAGGCACGGUGGGGGAGCUGCAGGUGGCAGUCAGGGGCAAGGCCCCCCGCCGCCUGCUGUGUGUCUCCUCGUCCUGCUGGGACUGGGACCCAGGGUGCCCAUGGCUGGGGACUCGAGUCGCUGAUUUGCGCCUGAAGGCCCCUCCCCGUCCUCCACCUCCCUGCUUGUGCACGGGAGGCUGCAGAGGGUACCCUGGCCUCACCCUCGCCCUCCACAGCAGGGCUGCCGCCGGCCACGCUCCUCCCCAGGCGCCGGCCCUCUCUGCUCCCCUGCUGUCCCCACGUGCACACGGGUGCUCUUCGUGCAGGAGAUGGGAGGGCCAGGGGAGGGGCUUUUACCCACGCAGGGCCUCGUCUGCAUCACUUCUGCCAUGCAGCCACAUUACUGUCUGACGCAGCCUCCCCACUUCCCAACUGAGCGGAAAGCACUCAGACACGCGUGCACAUGGCUGUGUGGUUCAUGGGACACGAAGAGGGAAACAGCCCAAGUGUCCACUGACAAAGAGAUAAGCAAAAUGCGGUACGCGGAGCUGCUGGAAUAUCACUCGGCCUUGAGGGAGAAUGCAAUUCUGAGACGGACACCGUGCCCAGAGCAAGAAGUCAGUCGCAAAAGAAAUGCUGUUGAGAUCCAGCCAUCCGCAGGACGAGUCAGAGCCAAACCCCCCCUCACAAUAAGCUCCUUCGGGGACAGUGUCUCAUUUCCAAGGGAGACCUGCGCGAGAAGACUCACAAACUGGAUUGUAAAUGCCUUGCAUAGAAAUGACGGAAACUGCACUGCACAGGCCUCAGCGACGCGGGCCCAGUCUGGACGCCACCGGGGCGGUGAACUGAUACUCUGUGGGAGAAGUUCCCUGGAUGACCUGCCUUGCUGGCUUCUCAGUGAAGGCCUGGCCUCAAGGCACCCUGAGGGGUGAGGGAGUCCGAUGUCGCCUCCACCUCUACUUCGUGUGCCGUGCACAGCCGGAGGGGAGCAGAGACAGAAAGGCUGGGGAGC
rnacentral:lncRNA from 1 species